rnacentral:rRNA from 1 species
GAAGUGUGGACGCCAGUCUGCAUGGAGCCGACCUUGAAAUACCACCCUUUAAUGUUUGAUGUUCUAACGUUGACCCGUGAUCCGGGUUGCGGACAGUGUCUGGUGGGUAGUUUGACUGGGGCGGUCUCCUCCUAAAGAGUAACGGAGGAGCACGAAGGUUGGCUAAUCCUGGUCGGACAUCAGGAGGUUAGUGCAAUGGCAUAAGCCAGCUUGACUGCGAGCGUGACGGCGCGAGCAGGUGCGAAAGCAGGUCAUAGUGAUCCGGUGGUUCUGAAUGGAAGGGCCAUCGCUCAACGGAUAAAAGGUACUCCGGGGAUAACAGGCUGAUACCGCCCAAGAGUUCAUAUCGACGGCGGUGUUUGGCACCUCGAUGUCGGCUCAUCACAUCCUGGGGCUGAAGUAGGUCCCAAGGGUAUGGCUGUUCGCCAUUUAAAGUGGUACGCGAGCUGGGUUUAGAACGUCGUGAGACAGUUCGGUCCCUAUCUGCCGUGGGCGCUGGAGAACUGAGGGGGGCUGCUCCUAGUACGAGAGGACCGGAGUGGACGCAUCACUGGUGUUCGGGUUGUCAUGCCAAUGGCACUGCCCGGUAGCUAAAUGCGGAAGAGAUAAGUGCUGAAAGCAUCUAAGCACGAAACUUGCCCCGAGAUGAGUUCUCCCUGACUCCUUGAGAGUCCUGAAGGAACGUUGAAGACGACGACGUUGAUAGGCCGGGUGUGUAAGCGCAGCGAUGCGUUGAGCUAACCGGUACUAAUGAACCGUGAGG